rnacentral:rRNA from 1 species
UACGUAGGGGGCGAGCGUUAUCCGGAUUUAUUGGGCGUAAAGGGUGUGUAGGCGGUUUGUUAAGUCUAAAAUCAAAGCCCGAGGCUUAACCUCGGUUCGUUUUAGAAACUGGCAAACUAGAGUACAGUAGAGGCAAGUGGAAUUUCUAGUGUAGCGGUUAAAUGCGUAGAUAUUAGAAGGAACACCAGUGGCGAAGGCGGCUUGCUGGGCUGUUACUGACGCUGAGACACGAAAGCGUGGGGAGCAAAUAGG